AUGUCUUAUCUCCAAAGAGUCCCGUCUGUUAAUGAAUUGUUUCUUAUUGUAGGCCCUAGGCAUUACAGAUAUGCAUAUAAAGUAUGUCAUUCUAGAUGUGCUCUGAGCAUUACACAGUUGCAUAUAAUCUUGUUUUUAUUUCUUGUAUUUACAUUUUUAUAUGUUGUACAGACAAAAGAUAGCAUAUGUUCCCUGAAAGUGAGUACAUAUGUACUGAUUAUUAGUGAAGUUAACCGAGAGCCUGUUACAUACAAGAAACAUGCAUUGGUUGAUUGGUUGAUGCGCCAUGGCCGUGGGUUGUCCUAG
rnacentral:rRNA from 1 species